rnacentral:rRNA from 1 species
UACGUAGGGUGCGAGCGUUAAUCGGAAUUACUGGGCGUAAAGCGUGCGCAGGCGGUUCGUGAUGUCUGGUGUGAAAGCCCCGGGCUCAACCUGGGAACUGCAUUGGAAACUAGCGGGCUGGAGUGUGGCAGAGGGGGGUGGAAUUCCACGUGUAGCAGUGAAAUGCGUAGAGAUGUGGAGGAACACCGAUGGCGAAGGCAGCCCCCUGGGCUAACACUGACGCUCAUGCACGAAAGCGUGGGGAGCAAACAGG